UGUCGGCUCAUCGCAUCCUGGGGCUGUAGUCGGUCCCAAGGGUUGGGCUGUUCGCCCAUUAAAGCGGUACGCGAGCUGGGUUCAGAACGUCGUGAGACAGUUCGGUCCCUAUCCGUCGUGGGCGCAGGAAAUUUGAGAGGAGCUGUCCUUAGUACGAGAGGACCGGGAUGGACGCACCGCUGGUGUACCAGUUGUCUUGCCAAAGGCAUCGCUGGGUAGCUAUGUGCGGAAGGGAUAAGUGCUGAAAGCAUCUAAGCAUGAAGCCCCCCUCGAGAUGAGAUUUCCCAUAGCGUCAAGCUAGUAAG
rnacentral:rRNA from 1 species